rnacentral:lncRNA from 1 species
AAGUCCACUCAAAUGAACUCACAAUUCUCAAUCAUAAAAUACAUGAAAAAAAAGCAAUCCAGAAUCAUCAGCAAUAACAACCUGUAUAAUUAGACCCUAAGAAUUUGAGAAAAAAAUUCUAAGUACAUUUAAAAUUGUUAAAGAGAAAAAUCAAACAUUGCUGAAAUAUUUAUUUUUAGUUUUUCAAGCCUCCAGAGAGCUUAACUGGUACUCUCUCCCAUGGGUUGUUUUAUUUAUGAAGUAACUUGGGGCCAGAGUUCUGCUGAUGGGAAAAGGGCACUCCAUGGGAUUUGCACACCAACCUUCCUGCACAUGCUGGGGUCCAAUGGGUAGAAAUGAACUUGGGAACAUGAUAGCUGCUGGCCUUCGUUGUGGGCUGUUGAGCAAAGGGAAAUGUAAAUCUGCAUUCCAGCUGAAGUCAAGUUUAGACAACAGAUCAAUUAAUUCCAAAGGGGUGGAAAAAGUGGAGCCAAGCAGAAGAAAAGCAAGACAAGGCCAGCAAAUUUGGGAGGUGGAGGAGGUGUCCCUUAGACAAAAGAAUACAGGUGGAAGCAGCUGUUCAUAAAUCACCUUCAAAGGAAGCUGUGGUUGGGAGUUGGCUUGGGGAAUAUUUAGACAUGUUGCCUUGGCUGUGAGGUAAGGCCAGAUCCAGUGAAGAAAUCUAAUUUCACAAAGAGACUAAGUCAGCUGGAGUAUUAAUAGGAGAUUUUAAUCCCUGGAACUUGGGUGUAUUUAACUGGGUUUGGAGUCUCCUGCCUCUGCUCCAAAAACUUCUGUCCUUUGUUGAGUGGGUGUUGGAGAUAAAAAACUACCAGAGACUUGGAUCAGCUUUCAAGUGAGUGGGACAGAAAUGGUCCUCAGAACUAGAACAGGGCCUCAGUGUUUUAAUGUGAAUUUACUGUCAUGUCAGGUUUGUAGGUAGCACAUCAUGAAGAAAGGAGGUAUGCUGAAGUCAUGUGGUCUCUGCUUUCAUCCACAUGUAAGUGUUGGGAAUUUUAAGAUAUAGAAUGGAAUAAGCAAAUAUGUAAAAUCAAUCCAAACUGCUUUUGCUUCAGAAAUUUCCAGAGAGGACAGAGCUGUCUCCAUGAACAAAAUCCAACUCAAACGUAAAAGCUAAAUUAGCAUGACUUGAUGGAAAUACUUCUAUGAGAUGGACACAUUCUAGCUGAAUAGGAAUAACUUAGAGCCAGUUUUCGAGGGGCCUGGAAAAUCAUCAAGCAGUUGUUUUUAGUUCCUUCCAUCCUUCUUCCCUCCCUCCCCUUGCCCCUCAUCCCCCUCCCCCACCUGCCAUCCCACUCUGCAUCCUGCUUGUGCCUUUUCUCUCAGCACCUGUCUUUGCAGACAAGCUUUCCACCCCUACACCUGCAUCUGCUACGUGGAGAGUUUUACUGCCCUGUGCCCUGUGUUUGUGUCUCAGCCUAUGUCGAGUGUUACAAUCAGACACCUCUUCCAGCCUGAGGCAGGCAGGGAGGGGGCUGAAGUAAUUGGAGGCCUAGAAGUGAAGGAAAGGUAAAGAGUGAAGUAUCUUAUCUCUUCAAUAAAAAUACAGCCAUCCUUGCUUGAUGGGAUAAUUUUCAAGCUACCUUGUAUGUUUAAGGGCAGCAGGUACCCAGAGCUCCUUAUGACGGUCUGCAUGGUUUCAUGGAACACUUCCCUGUUUCUCUCAAAUUUUGUUGAAGCUGGUGGUCUUUGUUUUGUGGUUGGUGAUUCUUGGGUUGAAUGAGGAAUUCUUCACAGUUUGGUGAAGGGCAGCCCUUUUAUAGAUAUGAAAGUGCAGUAGUAAGACAAUACUUUGCAGGUAGAAGUCUAUUUAUCUCCCUAGUUCACUUGGAUAUGAUUUUUUUUUUCCUGUUAGAAACUAACAGAUAAAAAAGCAGUUUGGACUUAAGUGGUACCUUUUUUAGAACAGCAUUGAUAACAUAGAUUGCAUGCUCUGAGGAAUGCUACAUGUGAAAAAUAAGGAAUUCACAAUAAAUAAAUUUAAGAAAUAAUUAUCUCAAUAAAGCCAAGCAGGAUCCUUUGGUGUAGGAUUUCUCCAGUCCUUCAAUGUGCUGGUGGCACUAGUUUCCCCAAAUGUAUUCAACUAUCAGGAAAGCAGCCUUGGAAACAAAAGAGUUUAAUGUUGAUCCUGCCGGUGCAAGUUCCCCUGCUCUUUAGACCCAGAGGUUCCUCUCAUGCUGUGCUCGAUCACGAUGCUGGUCCCCAGCCCCAGACCCUCUCUUCUCUACUCUCUUUUGUGACACAGGGGCAACAGUCUGGAAACCAUCUUUUGCUUUGGUUAGCCGGCUUCCUACAGGGCACCCAAGGGGGAGGCUGGACGGCAUGAGGGAAAAAAGUUUUCCUUCUUCCUUUUGUUUGCUGCUUCUCAGCAUCAGUCUCUCAAAGGCUGUUCACUGGGCAGCAGUCAUAUGCUGUCUUCAGCCUCCUUCUAUGCUCCCUGGACCUCACUGGAAUCCAUCCGAGGUAGUGGUGGCCCCUCCUGGUGCCCCCAUGGGAGCCAGAGCCCCAGAUCCAGGAGCCUCUCCUCCAAGCUGUAGUAGGCAGGGCCCUGCCCUGAGGCCUGGGAACCAGCCUGUGUGGCCCUCACUGGACUGGCUUUCAGGCCUGGUGAUUCCACCUCUUCCCCAGGAGUGGAAGCUGCUUCCUCCCUGUCUCUGCAUCUUAGUGUCCUGUUUUGCUUCUUUGGUCUUCCACCACCUGUAACAAAUUUCCUGUAUAAAAACCCCUCUGUUGAAAUACCUCAUGUGGUGUCUUUUUUCCUGAUUGGACCUCGAUGGAAAAAGAAUGCCUAUGAGAGCUUCCUCUGCAUAGGCGUGUCUUUGGGGAUGGAGGGAGGGUGUGAGAGUGGAUAGAGGAAGCAGGGAGGAACAGCCUGGAAUUCUUUCCUUGGACCCAAAGUAGUGUUUUUAAACCUUAGAAAUUUAAAUGAAUUCAAAGGAAUUUCAUUUAGAAAACUUCUCAGCAUCCCUUGAGAUAAUAGGAGCUAUUCUGGGGUCCCAUUAAAAUAGAAUAUGAAUUCCUUUCUCUUCUGUUAAGUUACUCAGCAAUUUGUGUAAAAGUGAAAUGAAAUGUCUCUUUCUGCAGGAUGCUAUCCGCCACAACUAUAAACCACAGAUUAGUCAUUCUAAGACAGUGGAAGGAGAUACUGGGGCUUGGUAGAGAAUUGGAAUUGGGAGUAAAAUGCAAGCAAUACAUUCCAAAUGGAACCUCCAAAGAUACAUUUUAUUUUUAAUGUUUGGCUUUACAAAAUAACUAAGUUCUAGUCCUCAAAUACGGCUGAUCAUUAGAAUCACCUAGGGAGCAUUAAAAUUACAGAUUGUAGACACUGCACAACCAGGAUUCAGACUCUCUUGCUUGGGACCCUGGAACUGGUAU